UGAUGGCUGUAGCCACCAGGACACAGGGAGGACGGGGAGAGGCCUCAGCAUCAGCUGCAAGUACAGGAAGUAGGUGGCACAAACACUGCACCCACAAAGUCAAUCUUUACCACAAGACGCUGGCUGAAACUUAAGUGCCUUGGAACACUAGGCACCCCAGCAGGCGAGGAGGGUGACUCAGCGGGCAGGCGGGCGCCCUGGCCCUGUGACUCAGGGCACACACCUCGCUCGGCCUGGCUACUGGCACCGUCGGAUGACACAUGAAACACAGCCACUGCGUGACCCUGACAGUUUCCACAAGAGCUAAGGGCUGGCUCUGGAAGCAGCUAGGUAAUAAGGGCUGACAGCCUACAUCUAAUUAAAUCAUUUCAAAAGCUGAGCCUGGCAUGGCAACCUUCUGCGGAACUAUCCAGGCUUCCACAUGGUGACUUACCGGAAGAAGCGUCCUGGUAUUACACAACAUGCAUGGAGUACUGGAAGAAUGGCCAACAUCUACAGUACCGGCGUUAAGAAGGAGCAAAGGUGGCCUGAGGACCAAGAUGGGAAGCGGAAGGAGCCUGAGUUGUCUGGGUUCUGCAACCCUGUGAUGUAAGGAGAGCCCUGCGUGCUCAGCCCCGUCUUCAGUUCCUGAGGGAGGCUUCUGACAGCAGAGCGCCUGCUGAGCAGGGCAGGGACCUGGCCCUGCACCUUGAAGAUGAACAAAACAAACAGGGUCCCAGCGGCUCCUCUGGGAACAGGAAGUGCACACGCUAUUACCUGCCAGCCAGGGACAGGACAGCGGCCCAGUCCAGGACCAAGAUGGGGGAGCAGGCACCCCAGAACCACAGAACCUG
rnacentral:lncRNA from 1 species